ensembl:lncRNA
CAGUGAUCUGGGGCUGGGCCCUGGGGUACACCUGCUGCCCAGGCCUGAAACUGGGGGUCAGCCCAGGCUCCCCCUCCCUCUCCAACCCGCCCAUCCAAUGAGUCACAGGGUUCUAGAACCUCCCUCUCAGAUAUUUGCGUCGAUUACCAAUAUCACUGUCUUAUUUCAGGCUUCUUUCAUUUCUCAUUACACACACUGUGGAAGACACCUGGCUGCUAAUCUCUUCCUUCUCCUCCGAUCCUUCACAGCACACCCAGCCUCACAAGCUGAACGUUCUCUCCUGAUGGUGAAACCUCACACGAUGCCCUUGUCAUCCAAGGGAAGUCCAGGCCUGGGCACAUUCAGAGCCCCCACCUCAGCCCUCACCAGUCCUGGGCUCCAGCUGGGCCCCCAACCCUCUAGUUCCAGGGUGUACUCUGACCCUCGUGUCUUUGCACACGCCAUUCCUUAUAUCCAGAACUCCCUUCCCAACCCCAGUUAUUCGGCUCGUAUUCACUGAGCACCUGUUACGUCCAGGCACCAUUCUAUGCACCAGGGAUACGGUGUGGAACUUGAAUUUUGGUGGGGUAACUGACAGUAAGCAACUCAGAGUGCGCCAGGUGUUGGCGAGCACUACGAUGAGGAGAAUGCUGGAGAACGGGAACACACCUGGGCAGGGUGAGGACCGAGGGCAAGGAGGAGUCAGCCAUAAGGAGACUAAAGAGGAAAGACGUUCCAGGUGGAGGAAAGAGCCCACGCCGAGGCCCCUAAGCAGGAGAGAAAAAGAAGGCCAGUGAAAGGAGAGCGUGGCCAGGGGCUGACAGCCAGGCUUCCUGAGCCGGGCUCCCAGGUUGGGUCCUCUGGCGGGCAGACACUUCCUGCGGGAGACUCGGUGGAUGGUGGUGGAGACGGGAAGAUACGCAGAAUGUGUUCUGGAGGCAGAAGUGAUGAGACUCGCUGCCAAACUGGAUAAGAAGAUGAAGAAAGGGAUCCAGAAGGACUUCAGCACCUGUCACCUUCUGUGGCAUGACAUUCAUUUGCAUUUACUACAAACUGUCUCCCUCCACUAGAGCGCAGACCCACGAGGGCAGGGAGCUGUGUUUUACUUAUGGAUGCAUCUGGAGGCUAGAACAGUGCCUGGCAUGUGGUAGGUGCAGAUGGACGAAUGAAUGAAUGAAUGAACACAGAUGAGUGACCACCGGAUUUGGUCGCGUGGAGGUUACCAGUGACCUUGACAAGUGGCAGAGACUCAGGAAGACUGGAGUGGAUUGAGGACCACAUAGGGGAGGGGGCGAAAGAGAAACUGGGACACAGACAACCUUUCAAGGUGCUUAUCACAGUGUAUUUACGUUGAUGCCCUUGAAUGUGUGCCAGUCACCAGCCGAGCUCCUUCAGGGCAGGGCCUGAGCCCUGUGCAUCUCCGCACCCCACUGGCAGCACAGUGUGCCCCACCACUGGGCGCAUGCUCAGUAAUGGCUCAUGGAACACCUGAACAAAGCUGUUGAACAAUCAGGAGGUGACAAAGGUCGCUUUUGCUCAUAACCCAUCAGCCACAGCUGGUCACAUGGUUCUACUUAAUGGCAGGGGGCAGGACAUGGAAUUAUCAUCAGUGCCCUGGGGUGGAGGAGGAGUCUGAGAAAGAAGCACAGGAAGUCUCUGCUACUCUGCUACUCUGUCAGAGGGGCGUCCCAUUUGAUCCACAAAUAGCAAGGGAGCCCUGAGCUGGCCAAGAGCCCACCUGCCUUGUAUCUUCAAGCCUAGAAAUGAGGGAGACGUGGGCUCUGCCCUUGCAGAGCUCACAGCCUCAGAGUGGAGACAGGCACGUAAACAUUCCAACACAAGGAGGCGUGUCCCAGGCCGCGGGGGGCGGGGGGAGGGUGUCCGUUGGAAGGAUCCGAGAAGCAACCAGGGCCUUUGAAAGACAGACUAGCGUUUUCCAGCUCACUUGCUCUGGAGAAAGGCAGGGCUUGCUCACGCAUCAGUGCCCCCAACAAAGUACGGGUAGGUCAGUCUCGGGCCUGUAAGGUCCUUCACGGAGUUCUAGUUCUCUGUGAAAAAUCCUUUGGGUCAUUAGUGUAUUGCAAAACCCUGAAAGUUAAUUUAGAAUUUCCCAAUUAUCAGUGAAUCUGUAUUUACCCCACAGUCGAUUUUACAAUUCCUGUAAUUCAGUGAUGAUUUUCACUACUAAAAGUAAUUCUAAGAGCGUCAGGUGAGUAUCAGGGUUAACUCGGUAAAAGAUGAGAGGAGCAUUUCGUCUCAGUCUUGCUGGUUGCACCCACUGCACCUGCUGCGGAGGAGCUCUGCUCCAAGAUGCCACGGUGAGGCAAGCGGCACAGUCUUCCCCACGGCUGGGACUACGCUGGGAACCUCCUGUUCAGAUUCUGCAGCCAGCGUCCCUAAUACACCUUUGCUCAAACACAUUGUGGAAUCUUCCACCUUGCCCAAAUUGAAUAUCGCUUUAAUUGUCAACCUUCGCUGAUGUCCCAUUUUUAAACCAUUAUACAUUUGUAUGGAAAUUCUUUGCAUUUUCCUGUAAGCACCAAUUUUCACUUUCCUUGGCUUUUCUAUUGUCAUAAUUAUUGUCAAAUCUGAAAAUAUGAGAUUUCGAGCAAAUUAUUUCUGUCAAUUUAUCAUCCGUUAAUUUAUCAUCAUGUAGAUCAUAUCAUGUGAGAGGUUUGGUCUUUCUUUUAUGACCUUUUUUGUGUAUCUUCAUCAUCACUGUUUAAUCUCACAUCCAGUACCGUCCCAGACAGCAUUUCCCAGACAGAUUCCCUUUCACCCUGUGCGUCCUGCUGGACCACGUCCAUCUGUGCUUACUCCAGAUCUGACGAUUUUUCUCGGAAAUGGCUUUCGAUCU